GACGAACGCUGGCGGCGUGCCUAAUACAUGCAAGUAGAACGCUGAAGAGAGGAGCUUGCUCUUCUUGGAAGAGUUGCGAACGGGUGAGUAACGCGUAGGUAACCUGCCUUGUAGCGGGGGAUAACUAUUGGAAACGAUAGCUAAUACCGCAUAACAAUGGGUGACCCAUGUCAUUCAUUUGAAAGGGGCAACUGCUCCACUACAAGAUGGACCUGCGUUGUAUUAGCUAGUAGGUGAGGUAACGGCUCACCUAGGCGACGAUACAUAGCCGACCUGUGAGGGUGAUCGGCCACACUGGGACUGAGACACGGCCCAGACUCCUACGGGAGGCAGCAGUAGGGAAUCUUCGGCAAUGGGGGCAACCCUGACCGAGCAACGCCGCGUGAGUGAAGAAGGUUUUCGGAUCGUAAAGCUCUGUUGUAAGUCAAGAACGAGUGUGAGAGUGGAAAGUUCACACUGUGACGGUAGCUUACCAGAAAGGGACGGCUAACUACGUGCCAGCAGCCGCGGUAAUACGUAGGUCCCGAGCGUUGUCCGGAUUUAUUGGGCGUAAAGCGAGCGCAGGCGGUUUGAUAAGUCUGAAGUUAAAGGCUGUGGCUCAACCAUAGUUCGCUUUGGAAACUGUCAAACUUGAGUGCAGAAGGGGAGAGUGGAAUUCCAUGUGUAGCGGUGAAAUGCGUAGAUAUAUGGAGGAACACCGGUGGCGAAAGCGGCUCUCUGGUCUGUAACUGACGCUGAGGCUCGAAAGCGUGGGGAGCGAACAGG
rnacentral:rRNA from 1 species